CAGCAGCUGACAGGCGGGCCCCGCCGGUCAGAUACACGGUCAAUACACGUUUAUACGCGAUUUAGACCUUUUUGUAACGUCUAGCCCCAGACUUGGUACUGAUACGUAAAAAUUACCAAACUUGGUAUCAAUCUGCUUCCAAUGCCCCAAUUGUGGUACUUCUGUGCAAUUUACUCGGGGUGGAGCUAUCAAAUAUAUGUGUGCUCGAUGUUGGUCUUUUAAUCCGGAUCCCUCGCUGAAGGUGCUUGAUGUUGGUGUUUGAAUACUGCUGCUGUACUUCAAGCAAUGUUCUUCUAGAGGUGUGAUGUUGGUGGUGAUUUUCUUAUCCGGGGAUAUGGAUGGGGCGGGUCUGUGGGCACCAUGCUGACGCGGAGAAGGAGGUGCAGGUAGCAGGGUGCUUGAGGUGAGGUGGCUGCAGGGUUGCUCGAGAAGAACAGGCUCAUCAGCACCACCUAGAUGCCUUUGUCAUCAGCAAUGUGGACAAGAAAGCUUUCAGACGAUACUCACACCAUCCGAUUCCUUGAAACAUGAAGUGUUUAUCUGAUCUGUUACAAUCCAAGGCUAUAUAGAAUGUUUGCAUGUUUUAAUCAAGAAGUCCUCAAUAGGUGGACUGGCUCAAAAUGGAGAAGCAUGCUGGUAGCUCUUCUGUUGAUUGUAUUAAGCAUUUAAGUUCGUAGCAAUUCAUAAUGUCAAUAUCUUUGGGAUGCUUUGUAAUAUUUUAGAAAACUGUGUUUUUUUGGCCUGAUCUUGCGUGCUGUCCAUAGACGUCCCCAUUUCCUUCUCACAUAUGGUAUUGGUUUUCAGAUAGCUUAGAUAUACGGAGACAAUUUGGUGGUGUCAAUUCUCUCUCUCUCUCUCUCUCUCUCUCUAAUAGAAUAACGAACAACCGAUAAGACUAAUAUUAU
rnacentral:rRNA from 1 species